GUUACACACAUGCAGGACAGCAGAAUUGUUAUCGGACUGACCCGUUAAAAAGAUAAUCUGGGAAACCCUCCUAAUGGACCUUUCUAUAGGAUAUGCAACAUUAAGCCAUCUGCAUCCCGGGGAUAAAGGAUAUGGAACCGCCUUCAUUAGAAAGGAAUUCCGAAGAGCAACGGAUGGACACAGACUUUUACGAGAUAUCUAUAUGUAAACUGUAUAUAUUUUUUAUGCUAAAAUGUACACCCGAAAUCGAAAAUCAUACAACCCUGGAGGACAUGAUCGAAACGGAAGGGGGGUACCCCCGGAACAUGAAGAGUAAAACAUUGAAUUCGGACGAUUUCCCCGCUUCAAAGGACAUUUCGGAGGUCUCUGAUUUGCGGUUGUUUGUAAUGGGCAGAAAACAGGUUAAGGAAAACUCCGAGACUGAAACAACAUUCAGUCAUGCUAUUCUAAAACAGGAAGACAACGAUUUUUACAGAUAUUCAGAAACAGAAGGACAAUAAUUAUCAUUAUAAUUUGUUUUUUAAAUAUAUUUUUUAGGCCAUAUGUUAAAUGGACGUAUUCUUAUAAGUUAAAAUGUAUCUAUUUCGUAUAAAUACAGGUUAACAUUAUCUAACGUUUGUAUGAUACCCAGAGGCUACAGGGCAUAAUGGAUUGGGAACCGACAGAGUUAGACGGGGAUUCUCAGAAGCAAACUGCGUCAGGUCCUUUACGUGGCCCAUUCACUAAUACACUAUUUUCGGCGUAAGUCCCCCCCACCCGACUACGGAAGAGCAGAUGAAACAGAGACAAUUCUGCGGGCUUGUACUGAAGGCCUUAACCUAACUCCAAACACAAGCCAGCACCCCAGGAAAGAUAAAACGAUAGACGGUGAAUCUUUCCUUCCUCAUGGAACUUUUUUGAAGGGGUGUUGAAUAUUAGAGGUUAUGUUUGUAUAUAUAUAUAUAUAUAUAUAUAUAUAUAUAUAUAUCUGAGGGAGGUCACGUAGGUCAAAUGUAUAAAGGGAAAGAGAGCAACAAUUUGACCUACGUGACCUCCCUCAGGUGUAAACAUCUACAAUAAUCAUUAGACAUACGAGUCAGAGUUAUCAUACCCAGUGUUAGGGUUUGCUAACUCUGGAUAUUCCUUUGGUUUGUACAGGGUUAGGUAAAUCAACUCUUUGCCCCCCUUACAUGGGGGAAUAAUCUCCAAGCUGCUCUAAACGUUGAUGUUUUUGGUGUCUCUAGGUUAAUCUCUAGACUGUUGAAUGAGGCCUGUUACUACUUUCUUACAAAACCUUUAAAGAGAGUUUGUGAAACCACUCAGUCUUGGCUGUAUGUAGAGCAUAUUUAACACGUAUUGCAGUUUACAGAAGCCUCCUGUUGUACUUUGAAUCGCCACUCAGCCCUGUUACAUCAUGAUGUGAUGGCUCUCUAACAUGUUUAUAAUCCACAUAGUGUGAAUAUUGUUUUCCCUAAAGUUAUUAACCCCCUAAACCGAAAUAUGAAAUUACCUUGAUGAUCUUUCUUACCGCCUAUUACUUUUGAGUUCUAAUCUCCCGCGUAAGGCUUACUAGUUAUGUCGAAAUGUUAGGAAGCCCUGUUGGUUGUAACAAAAACCAAACAUAAAAAAUACAUUUGACCCCCAGCUUUUCACAUACUGGGUCAUUUUAAUUUAGCCUGUUGUAUGUCUCCAGCCCCUUGGAGGCUUGGUGCAUCUACAUAGAAAAAGUACCAAAUUCAACCAUUGGGUGGAUGGGAACUAAAAUAAUGGCAUGGCAUGUAGUCAUGUUAAGAUUUUCAUUGUUUUCUUGUCAGAGUUUUAUGCUUUUGCAUAUGUCUGUGCAUUAUAGGAUGUCUUGAUAGGUUUGAGGAUCAAAUCACGCCUAUUGGUAUUCGUGAUCAUUUAUUGUUCCAGAAAAAAAAGACCCACAACUGUUCUGGGUUAAGUCCCUAGCUGUUUGCAGGGCUUGGUAGUGUAUUAGCCUGGUAUGAGUUACGAUAAAUAAUCCAAUUUAAGUAAAGUAUAAAAUAAACUGUAUUAUCCUAAAUUGAGAAAUGAAUUUUUAAAAAUCACAUCAACAGCAUAAUCUUUCAAAAUGUACCUGUUUUCCAUAUAUAAUGCCAUGUAUACUGAUUGUAUUACAACUUUUUGUGUUUUGUCUUAGUGAUUGUUCUUUAGUAAAUAGGAAACUCUACAGUGUGUUAGUCCAAGAAACAUUAUUUGUGAUAUUGUAACAAAUGUUUUUAACGUUGGUAAUUGUCUCAAAUAUAUAUCUUUGCAUGUUUGAAUUAAAGCUCCUUUAAAAUGUUUUCAUCACGGCCUGGUAAACACAUUCUUGUAAGUUGUCUACGCUGACAUUUCUGGGUAUGUCUCGCAUGUAACAUACUAAUACUAAAGAUUCUAAUCAUUUUUAUAUUACUUUUUAUAAUAAUACAAAUCUGUCAACCAAAUAUAUUUCUGAAAACCCCUUUUUGCAUCUUCAAUAGUUGUCACAUUGUGUUUUACAGAUACCCUGUCUAUAAAAAUCUAAGACCUAUCAACA